rnacentral:tRNA from 1 species
GCCUGGGUGGCUCAGUCGGUUGAGCAUCUGACUUUGGCUCAGGUCAUGAUCUCGCGGUCUGUGGGUUCGAGCCCCGCAUCGGGCU